UCUCCUGGGCGACUCAGGGUGCGACCGCGCGUCCCCCUCGCCUCCUAGGCUUGCGAGCACCGUCGACCGCCGUGCACGAUGGCGGCGGCCCACGUAGGGGCCGAAGCCGAUCCUACGCCCCCCUCCCCUCCUUUCCUUCACCUUCUCGACCUCCCCCUCUUCCUCAGCUCCAAGUCGCCUAUGUCGUUGAGGUUGCCGCUGCCGAGGGCUGCCCCGGCCACCGCACGCCAGAUUCGACAUCCUCCGGUCCGGAUCUGCUAGCACCUGGCGGGGGCGCCCUCCCGCGGCUUGUGGCCACCGUUUUGCGGUGCUCGUCUCCUGUUGUUGUCGUCCAAGCCGCCCCUUUCGUCGUCUUUCGAGGGCAGGUCGGCGGGCAGAUCGCCGCAGUCGUCUCCCCCUUCCGGUGAUUUCAAUCUCACCUAAGCCACAGACGGGGCUUGACAAAGGAUGGAUCUUUGGGUCACGGGCGAGAGCCUUGCCUCGCUUCGGCUAGCGCAAAACAAUGGUGACGUCCGUGGACGUCGUUUACCUUGCUGGAGGCAUUGGGGUGACCUUAAUCUUGUAUCCGUGGGGUGAAAACCUAGUCUUUCUGACGGGCGAUGUGUCACACCCGUGGCCGUGGCGGAUCGCCGGCGACGUGAGAUAGACUAGCAGCACGAGAUGGACAUGGCGUGGGGAAGGGGAAGGUCCCCUGUCCCGUUCACGAGUUCGAUUUUAGAGAUAAGAUUCAACUUGUUUUCUUUACAGCCAGCAGGGUGUAUGUAUACCCAAUUACUCGCUGCCCACACGGGCCCACAUGACCACUCGCAGGUGGCUCACGCACACGCUAAAGAAUACGUCUUCUAUCUUCUGAAUACGUCAUGCGGGCGGCGUGACAUCUCCCCCCGCUGCAGAACUUGCUUGUCCCCAAGCAAGACAUGUAGGAAAGCGGCGCAUGACCACGUACAGAUCCUCCCAGGUUGCAGAAGCCUGCGGAAUGUUAGCCCAUUUCACCAAAACUUGUGGAAUAGCCCGGUUAUCUUUCUUAACGAGACGACGAUCCAACACCGAUUCCGGUUCAAGCUCAGUAGCACUCAAAUCAGCAAGUAAUGGCAGUUGUGUAUAAACUGGUGUGUAAUCAGGUGUAAAAGGCUUGAGUUGGGAGAUAUGAAAAACUGGAUGGACCAAGCUUCCUUCAGGAA